CAAAGUAAAAAUUACCAGUAUCAUUGGCUGUCUAUAUUUCUCCAACAUGUGGACGGUCUCUCUAAGCUGGAAGAAUGAGUAGAACGACUUAAGUUCUGUUGUGAAAUGGUUUUUUUAGUAAUUUCGUGACACUAUUGUGGUUCUUACAAAA
rnacentral:snoRNA from 1 species